rnacentral:tRNA from 1 species
GGGUCGAUGGCGUAGUUGGUUAUCGCAUCUGUCUAACAUCAUAGAGAAUGUUCACAGAAGGUCCUCAGUUCGAACCUGGGUCGACUCA